rnacentral:rRNA from 1 species
UACGUAGGGAGCAAGCGUUGUCCGGAAUCAUUGGGCGUAAAGCGCGCGUAGGCGGCCCCGUAAGUCCGCUGUGAAAGUCAAAGGCUCAACCUUUGAAAGCCGGUGGAUACUGUGGGGCUAGAGUCCGGAAGAGGCGAGUGGAAUUCCUGGUGUAGCGGUGGAAUGCGCAGAUAUCAGGAGGAACACCAAUAGCGAAGGCAGCUCGCUGGGACGGUACUGACGCUAAGGCGCGAAAGCGUGGGGAGCGAUCCGG